AGUGGAUGGGGAGCAACCUAGUUGUGCGUGUGUAAAGGUAGUGCCAAGAAAAGCGAUGAUCAUGUUGAAAAUCAAUUCCCGGUACCCGAAACCGACACAGGUGGGCAAGUAGAGAAUACUAAGGGGCGCGAGGUAACUCUCUCCAAGGAACUCGGCAAAAUGACCCCGUAACUUAGGGAGAAGGGGUGCCACCGAGAGGUGGUCGCAGUGAAGAGGCCCAGGCGACUGUUUAGCAAAAACAUAGGUCUCUGCAAACUCGAAAGAGGAGGUAUAGGGGCUGACGCCUGCCCAGUGCCGGAAGGUUAAAGAAGUUGGUCAGUCUUAGGAUGAAGCUAGCGACUGAAGCCCCGGUGAACGGCGGCCGUAACUAUAACGGUCCUAAGGUAGCGAAAUUCCUUGUCGGGUAAGUUCCGACCCGCACGAAAGGCGUAACGAUCUGGGCGCUGUCUCGGAGAGAGGCUCGGCGAAAUAGGAUUGUCUGUGAAGAUACGGACUACCUGCAUUUGGACAGAAAGACCCUAUGAAGCUUUACUAUAGCUUGGAAUUGUGUUCGGGCUUCCUGUGCGCAGGAUAGGUGGGAGGCGUAGAAGGUAUUCUUGUGGGGAUACUGGAGCCAACGGUGAGAUACCACUCUCAGGAGGCUAGAAUUCUAACUUAAUUAAGACAGUUUCAGGUGGGUAGUUUGACUGGGGCGGUCGCCUCCAAAAAGGUAACGGAGGCGUACAAAGGUUCCCUCAGACUGGUUGGAAAUCAGUCGAAGAGUGCAAAGGCAGAAGGGAGCUUGACUGCGAGAAGUACAGUUCGAGCAGGGUGGAAACACGGUCUUAGUGAUCCGACGGUGCUGUGUGGAAGGGCCGUCGCUCAACGGAUAAAAGUUACUCUAGGAUAACAGGCUGAUCUCCCCCAAGAGUUCACAUCGACGGGGAGGUUUGGCUCCUCGAUGUCGGCUCAUCGCAACCUGGGGCGGAAGUACGUCCCAAGGGUUGGGCUGUUCGCCCAUUAAAGCGGUACGUGAGCUGGGUUCAGAACGUCGUGAGACAGUUCGGUCCAUAUCCGAUGUAGGCGUGAGAAUAUUGAGAGGAGCCUUCCUUAGUACGAGAGGACCGGGAAGGACGCACCGCUGGUGUACCUGUUAUGAUGCCAAUUGUAAACGCAGGGUAGCCAAGUGCGGAGAGGAUAACCGCUGAAAGCAUCUAAGUGGGAAGCCCACCUCAAGAUGAGUAUUCUGGUGUAAGGUCACGGGAAGACGACCCGUAAAUAGGCACGAGGUGGAAGUGCAGAGAUGUAUGAAGCCGAAGUGUACUAAUAGACCGUCGGCUUGAC
rnacentral:rRNA from 1 species